UGAAAUCAAAGAGAAUAAUCAGGAGAAAGGCAGAAGCACUCAAAGCACGUAUUCACAUCAGAUAGCAUACAUACGCAUACAUAAACACAAGAGAAAUCAACCAAGAGAUAUUGCAAUAAGACAUCCAGAAACAGGCAGAAAAGAGAUUGCAACAAAACAUAGGACAUCAUACAUCAUAGCAGAGAACAACACUCAGGAGGAAUAGGAAGGAAGAGGCAUAGCUCAGGUAAGUCACUCCUUUUUCCUUUUUUUCUUCAAAUACUUGCAAAUAAGAAAUGCAUUUCAAUCAAUAUGUAUCAAGAGAGAUAUACAUCACACCAUAAGAAAUCAGAAUGUAUAACAGUUAAAAACGCAUCAUA
rnacentral:lncRNA from 1 species